rnacentral:rRNA from 1 species
CUAGCAUAUCAAUAAGCGGAGGAAAAGAAACCAACAGGGAUUGCCCUAGUAACGGCGAGUGAAGCGGCAACAGCUCAAAUUUGAAAUCUGGCUCUUUCAGGGUCCGAGUUGUAAUUUGCAGAGGGUGCUUUGGUGUUGGCGGCGGUCUAAGUUCCUUGGAACAGGACAUCGCAGAGGGUGAGAAUCCCGUAUGUGGUCGCCUGCCUUCGCCGUGUAAAGCCCCUUCGACGAGUCGAGUUGUUUGGGAAUGCAGCUCUAAAUGGGAGGUAAAUUUCUUCUAAAGCUAAAUACCGGCCAGAGACCGAUAGCGCACAAGUAGAGUGAUCGAAAGAUGAAAAGCACUUUGGAAAGAGAGUCAAACAGCACGUGAAAUUGUUAAAAGGGAAGCGCUUGCAGCCAGACUUGCCUGUAGUUGCUCGCCCGGGCUUUUGCCCGGGUUACUCUUCUGCAGGCAGGCCAGCAUCAGUUUGGGCGGUCGGAUAAAGGUCCCUGACACGUAUCUCCCUUCGGGGUUAACAUAUAGGGGGGACGUAAUGCGACCAGCCUGGACUGAGGUCCGCGCAUCUGCUAGGAUGCUGGCGUAAUGGCUGUAAGCGGCCCGUCUUGAAACACGGACCAAGGAGUCUAACAUCUAUGCGAGUGUUUGGGUGUCAAGCCCGAGCGCGUAAUGAAAGUGAACGGAGGUGGGAACCCCUCGGGGCGCACCAUCGACCGAUCCUGAUGUCUUCGGAUGGAUUUGAGUAAGAGCAUAGCUGUUGGGACCCGAAAGAUGGUGAACUAUGCUUGAAUAGGGUGAAGCCAGAGGAAACUCUGGUGGAGGCUCGCAGCGGUUCUGACGUGCAAAUCGAUCGUCAAAUUUGGGCAUAGGGGCGAAAGACUAAUCGAACUAUCUAGUAGCUGGUUCCUGCCGAGCUCCU